UACGUAGGGGGCGAGCGUUGUCCGGAAUUAUUGGGCGUAAAGGGCUCGUAGGCGGUUUGUCGCGUCGGGAGUGAAAACCUCGGGCUUAACUCGGGGCUUGCUUUCGAUACGGGCAGACUAGAGGUAUGCAGGGGAGAACGGAAUUCCUGGUGUAGCGGUGAAAUGCGCAGAUAUCAGGAGGAACACCGGUGGCGAAGGCAGCCAUCUGGACCGACACUGACGCUGAGGCGCGAAAGCGUGGGGAGCAAACAGG
rnacentral:rRNA from 1 species